rnacentral:lncRNA from 13 species
AUGCACGGGCCCUUUAACAGCUCGCACCGCGCCCACCCCCAGCUGGGGCUCGGCAGCAGGCGGGCGCGGGGAAGUGGGGACGCAGUGAGGCCGGAGGCCAGAGACCCGCUCCCGCUAUCCUUCCACGACCCAGUUCCGGGCCGGCCCAGCCGCCGCCCGCCGGGCACUCUCUUCUCUCUGCCCCCGCGCUGGCCGCAGAGGCCAGGAGCGCGGCACACGCAGGAGCCGCAGCCCCGUAGCCAGGGAAGGGACCGCGGCCAGGGGCCUGCGGAGGGCAGGGCCGAGCCCUCGGGGCACAGCCCCAUCCCGGGCCCUCAGCGCCGCAGGCGACAGGGCCCCGGCCUGGGCACCCCAGCACCGCCCGCUCACCUGCUCCACCGCCGCGCUCCGGCGGAGUUUACGCCGCUGGCGGAGCGCCCGGCCGGCCCAGGCCCCGCCCCGCGCCCGCCCGGGCCCCGCCCCGUGGGCGACGCCACGUUCCCUUGUCCACUGGGGCCCCUCCUGGAGUCCCGGGAGCGCAGGGAGGGUGCCCUUCGCGUCGCGCGGAUGACAGGAUCAACCCGACGUCGGAACUGGGCAGCGACCUUAGGAGUGGAAGCCGGGCCUGUCAUCUUCCUGCGGGCCUGGCAGCAGCGUGGGGCGAUGCCACCUGGGGAGAUGCUCCAGCCUGAGGGGGUGAAGCAAAGACAAGCCUCUGCACCAGUCCCCAGCUAACUGCCAGUGUAGUAAAUUGUUUUCAAAGAUGGCACCAACAACUCCUCCCUCUUUAUGACGACAUGCCACUUCUCCCAUCAAGAGUUGGCGUCUAUCUCCCCUUUCUUUGAGCCAGGAGUGAUUUUGUGACUUGAUUUGCCUGAAAGAAUGAGAAGAAAGGCUGGACAUGGUGGCUCAUGCCUGUAAUUAAAACACUUUGAGAGGCUGAGGCGGGUGAAUCACUUGAACCUGGAAGUUCAUGGCAAAACCCUGUCUCUACAAAACAAAACAAAGCUAAACCCUCAAAACAAAAAUUAGCUGGGCAUUAUGUUCCGCACCUAUUGUCCCCUGAGGUGUGAGAAUCACUUGAAUCCAAGAGGCAGAGGUUGCAGUGAGCCAAGAUAGCACCACUGCACUCCAGCCUGGGUGACAGAAUGAGACUGCAUCUCAAAAAAAAAGGAAAAGAAAAAAAAAUGAAGUGACGCUUUACCAGUUCCAGACUCAGUCUUUACAAAGCUUGAGAAUGUCUAUUUGGCCUAUCGGGAUUCAGCCACCAUGUGAGUAAGCUCAAGCCAGACUGCUAAAUGAUGAGAGACUCUGUGGAGAGGGAGAGCUCAGCCAGCUCCCUGCUCCUCAAGCCACCCCAGCUGAGGUGCCAGACAUGUAAGUGAAGCCAUCUUGGGCAUUCCAGCCCCAGUCAAGCUCCCAACUAAAUGCAGCCACAUGAGUGACCUUAGGCAACUCAGUACAGAGCAGAAGAACUACUCAGCUGAGCCCAGCCAAUCCCCAGAAUUGUGAGAAAUAAUAAAUCUUUGCUUUAAGCCA